AAAAUGUUAUUUCCCGGUAAAGUCCCUCUACCAACAAACUCACCCACACAGAUUAGGGUGAACCUCUCUUCCUCAUUCUCCGAAUUCACCCAUACGAAUUAGGGCAAACCACUCUUCCUCAUCGGCCAUGGCGCGAUCUCGUCUCUUUCGUCCUUACCAGUCUUUACGCAAGAAAAUAAACAAAGAGCUUCCUUUUUCUGGAGCCCCUGCAGUCCCUAAUUACUUAUGGUGGAAAGAAGUGGAACUUGUUUUAUGGUGGAGCCAAAACUAUAUACAAAUUUUGUACUGGAUGCUUAUUUUUUUGCGGAUGAUAACAAUCAAAAAGAGGGGGAUGGUCUUGUAUUGGAACUCUCAGAGUGUAACUCUAAAAAAAUCGAAUUAAAAAUUCAAAUUCUAAGAGAAGAUUUUCGAGCUGAAUUGGUUCCUGAAGAUGUGGAGGGUUUAAACAUUGACAACCCAAUAAUAAUUGAUUAAAAACUUUAUCAUUUCAAGUAGAAACUUCAAUUUUCAAUAAAAAAGAAUUUUAAUGA